rnacentral:rRNA from 1 species
UACCCUGAACGGUGGAUCACUUGGCUCGUGGGUCGAUGAAGAACGCAGCUAAUUGCGCGUCAACUUGUGAACUGCAAGACACAUGAACAUCGACAUUUCGAACGCACAUUGCGGUCCACGGAUACAAUUCCCGGACCACGCCUGGCUGAGGGUCG